rnacentral:rRNA from 1 species
AAUUGACGGGGACCCGCACAAGCGGUGGAUGAUGUGGAUUAAUUCGAUGCAACGCGAAAAACCUUACCUACCCUUGACAUGGAAGGAAUCCUUGAGAGAUCGAGGAGUGCCCGAAAGGGAACCUUCACACAGGUGCUGCAUGGCUGUCGUCAGCUCGUGUUGUGAGAUGUUGGGUUAAGUCCCGCAACGAGCGCAACCCUCGUCCUUAGUUGCUACCAUUUAGUUGGGCACUUUAAGGAAACUGCCGGUGAUAAGCCGGAGGAAGGUGGGGAUGACGUCAAGUCCUCAUGGCCCUUACAGGCUGGGCUACACACGUGCUACAAUGGCGAUGACAGUGGGCAGCGACCCCGCAAGGGUGAGCUAAUCUCCAAAAGUCGUCUCAGUUCGGAUUGUCCUCUGCAACUCGAGGGCAUGAAGGCGGAAUCGCUAGUAAUCGCGGAUCAGCAUGCCGCGGUGAAUACGUUCCCAGGCCUUGUACACACCGCCCGUCACACCAUGGGAGUGGGUUGCUCCAGAAGUAGAUAGUCUAACCCUCGGGAGGACGUUUACCACGGAGUGAUUCAUGACUGGGGUGAAGUCG